rnacentral:rRNA from 1 species
UACGGGGGGGAGCAAGCGUUGUUCGGAUUUACUGGGCGUAAAGGGCGCGUAGGCGGCACCGCAAGUCGACUGUGAAAUCUCCGGGCUUAACUCGGAAAGGUCAGCCGAUACUGCGGGGCUAGAGUGCAGAAGGGGCAACUGGAAUUCUCGGUGUAGCGGUGAAAUGCGUAGAUAUCGAGAGGAACACCGGUGGCGAAGGCGGGUCUCUGGGCAACAACUGACGCUGAGAGCGAAGACGUGGGGAGCGAACAGG